GUUAAAGUGUCAGAAAAAUGUGUUAAAUUUAGGAUUUAAUUAUGGGAUUUGUUCCCCUUUAAUA